GAUGAACGCUGGCGGCGUGCCUAAUACAUGCAAGUCGAGCGAACAGACGAGGAGCUUGCUCCUCUGACGUUAGCGGCGGACGGGUGAGUAACACGUGGAUAACCUACCUAUAAGACUGGGAUAACUUCGGGAAACCGGAGCUAAUACCGGAUAAUAUAUUGAACCGCAUGGUUCAAUAGUGAAAGACGGUUUUGCUGUCACUUAUAGAUGGAUCCGCGCCGCAUUAGCUAGUUGGUAAGGUAACGGCUUACCAAGGCAACGAUGCGUAGCCGACCUGAGAGGGUGAUCGGCCACACUGGAACGGAGACACGGUCCAUACUCCUACGGGAGGCAGCAGUAGCGAAUCUUCCGCAAUGGGCGAAAGCCUGACGGAGCAACGCCGCGUGAGUGAUGAAGGUCUUCGGAUCGUAAAACUCUGUUAUUAGGGAAGAACAAAUUUGUAAGUAACUAUGCACGUCUUGACGGUACCUAAUCAGAAAGCCACGGCUAACUACGUG
rnacentral:rRNA from 1 species